rnacentral:rRNA from 1 species
CUGCUGCCUUCCGUAGGAGUUUGGGCCGUGUCUCAGUCCCAGUGUGGCCGGCCACCCUCUCAGGCCGGCUACCCAUCGUCGCCUUGGUAGGCCAUUACCCUACCAACUAGCUAAUGGGACGCGAGUCCAUCUUUCAGCGUCAGGUCUCCCCAACUUUUCCUAUAUAAACAUGCACUUAUAUAACUCAUCCGGCAUUAGCUCACCUUUCGGUAAGUUGUUCCAGUCUAAAAGGCAGGUCACUCACGUGUUACUCACCCGUGCG